CCUACGGGAGGCAGCAGUAGGGAAUCUUCCACAAUGGGCGAAAGCCUGAUGGAGCAACGCCGCGUGAGUGAAGAAGGUCUUCGGAUCGUAAAGCUCUGUUGUUAGAGAAGAACGUGCGUGAGAGUAACUGUUCACGCAGUGACGGUAUCUAACCAGAAAGCCCCGGCUAACUACGUGCCAGCAGCCGCGGUAAUACGUAGGUGGCAAGCGUUAUCCGGAUUUAUUGGGCGUAAAGCGAACGCAGGCGGUUUCUUAGGUCUGAUGUGAAAGCCUCCGGCUUAACCGAAGAAGUGCAUUGGAAACCGGGCGACUUGAGUGCAGAAGAGGACAGUGGAACUCCAUGUGUAGCGGUGAAAUGCGUAGAUAUAUGGAGGAACACCAGUGGCGAAGGCGGCUGUCUGGUCUGCAACUGACGCUGAGGAUCGAAAGCGUGGGUAGCAAACAGGAUUAGAUACCCCAGUAGUC
rnacentral:rRNA from 1 species